rnacentral:rRNA from 1 species
UACGUAGGGUGCAAGCGUUAUCCGGAAUUAUUGGGCGUAAAGAGCUCGUAGGCGGUUUGUCGCGGUCUGCUGUGAAAACUGGAGGCUCAACCUCCAGCCUGCAGUGGGUACGGGCAGACUAGAGUGCGGUAGGGGAGAUUGGAAUUCCUGGUGUAGCGGUGGAAUGCGCAGAUAUCAGGAGGAACACCGGUGGCGAAGGCGGGUCUCUGGGCAGUAACUGACGCUGAGGAGCGAAAGCGUGGGGGAGCGAACAAG